CCGGUCUUUUCACCUCCGAAUAAAUAUGCUCUUAUCUGGCAGUUAGCUAUCUGGAGGAUAAAUAUUUAUUCGCCAGAUAAAAAGUACCCGUCUUUUCACGUCAAUUUAUGUUCCAGUUAGUUAUCCGGUAGAUAAGCUUAAAAGUAAGUUUGGAUUCCGAACACACCUGACUUUUAUGUUUAUUUUUAUAAUUUCAGCUUUAACUUAACCUAACAUAAUUAGAUUCAAAGUAUUUCAAAGAUGAUUUUAUCGAUUUUAUUUCCAUUUUGGAAGAAGGAAUGAAGGAAAUAAGGAAAACAUUGAUUAUGCUGAAAUAGUUUACUGGAGAGCUUGAACAAGAGGUAAAUCCAUUUUAAAUUAGAGGAAAACUGUUGAUUUGUAUGUAAAAUAGAAGACAAAGACAAGUUUAAAUAAAGACAAGCUAGCUAAUGAAACAGAUGCAGUGAUAUGACAAACACCUAGAAGAUGGAAUCCUGUGUUCUCAAAGAAAAAGCUAGUUCCAGAAAUAAGCUACCAAUAAUAAACUAGAGAAUGUAUUACAAGAAAGAACAACGCUAAUACCCAACAUAGCUCAAUUGCUUCAGAUAGAAAAAGAGGAGGAAAGGGUAGAACACAAGCGUGCCAGAGAAAAAUAAAGGGCAGAAGAGACACAAAAAUUCAUUGAUUUAUUAAAUUUAAUAAUUAAAUUAUACAAAGGACAAUUAAAUAAAGAAUAAAAAAUUA